UACGUAGGCAGCGAGCGUUGUUCGGAGUUACUGGGCGUAAAGGGCUCGUAGGUGGCCAACUAAGUCAGACGUGAAAUCCCUCAGCUUAACUGGGGAACUGCGUCUGAUACUGGAUGGCUUGAGUUUGGGAGAGGGAUGCGGAAUUCCAGGUGUAGCGGUGAAAUGCGUAGAUAUCUGGAGGAACACCGGUGGCGAAGGCGGCAUCCUGGACCAACACUGACACUGAUGAGCGAAAGCCAGGGGAGCAAACGGG
rnacentral:rRNA from 1 species